UACGGAGGGUGCAAGCGUUGUCCGGAUUUAUUGGGUUUAAAGGGUGCGUAGGCGGUUAAUUAAGUCAGUUGUGAAAUCCUGGAGCUCAACUUCAGAACUGCCAUUGAUACUGGUUGACUUGAGUACAGACGAGGUUGGCGGAAUUGAUGGUGUAGCGGUGAAAUGCAUAGAUACCAUCAAGAACACCGAUUGCGAAGGCAGCUAACUAGGCUGUAACUGACGCUGAGGCACGAAAGUGUGGGGAUCAAACAGG
rnacentral:rRNA from 1 species